AUGGCUGUCACUCAAGGAAUCAUUAGCACUGAAGGGAAGGCGGUGAAGCUUGUUGUGUUGUCAUCACACUGUGAGAAGGCUUCAGAUUUCAUCCAGAAAGCCGUCAUCUGGAAGACAUUAUCUUCUCUCUCUCUUGUUCCCUCUGGUGCUCUCCCUCAUUUUGGCUUAAAUUUUCAAGUUUACAUACAAUUGGUGAACAGCCUCAGAGACUUUGUGGAUGAUGAUGAUGAUGACCUGGAGCGAGUCACCUGGACUGGGGAACUUGUGGGAAUUAUCUCAUGGUCCAUCAAAGAGACUGCUGGUAAUAGCGGGUCAACCCAUGAGGGGUGUGAACAGCUAAAGAGCCGAAACAGCUUCUCCUCCUAUGCACAACUACCCAAGCCUACUUCUACCUACUCCCGGAGCAGCUUUUUUAGAGGUAGAACUAGACUGGGAAGUUUCCAGUCCCUUUCUGAUACUCUGUCAGACACAUCUGCCAAAAGUUAUGCUCCAGAGCUGGGGAGACCCAAAGGGGGGUAUAGGGAUUACAGCAAUGAUUGGAGCCCUAGUGAUACAGUGCAACGCCUCCGGAAGGGCAAGGUCUGCUCACUAGAGAGAUUCUGCUCCUUACAGGACAAGCUACAACUCCUAGAAAAGGCAGUAAGCAUGCAAGAUGGAAACGUCAUUACUGCAGUUCUGAUUUUCCUGAAGAGGACACUGAGCAAAGAGAUCCUCUUCCGAGAGCUGGAGGUGCGACAGAUUGCCCUGAGACAGCUUGUCCACUUCCUUAAGGAAAUAGGGGAUCAAAAGCUGCUGUUAGACCUCUUCAGGUUCCUAGAUAGAACAGAAGAGCUUGCGCUAUCUUAUUAUCAGAGCAUUUGAACAUUGAGGACCCUGACAAACGAAAAGAAUUUCUUAAGACCUGUAUUGGUUUGCCAUUUUCAGCAGAAGAUUCUGCACACAUACAGGACCAUUACAUGCUCUUGGGACGUCAGAUCAUUAUUGAGGUAAAUGAUCGCCAUUUAGAAUCAGCAGGACAGAUUGAGAUCUUCAGAAAGCACCCCCCGCAAAGCUUCCAUCCUCAACAUGCCACUAGUGACAACACUUUUCUACUCCUGCUCCUAUCACUACAUGGAGGCUGAGGGGACAUUCAGCAGUCCUGUCAACCUGAAGAAGACAUUUAAGAUCCAGACAAACAGUAUGUGCUGACAGCCCCGGCUGCUCGUGCCGAGCUUCGAGCCUGGAAUGAUGUAGAUGCCCUAUUCACCACAAAGAACUGGCUGGGUUGUACCAAGAAGAGAGCACCCAUUGGCUUCCAUCGAGUUGUCUAAAUUUUGCACAAGAACAAUGCUCUUGUGCAGAUAUUACAGGAGUAUGUCAAACUGGUGGAAGAUGUGGACACAAAGUUGAACUUAGCCACUAAGUUCAAGUGCCAUGAUGUCAUCAUUGAUACCUGCCGAGACCUGAAGGAUCGUCAACAGUUGCUAGCAUACUGGAGUAAGGUAGAUAAAGGAUCAGCAGAGGAGGAAAAGAUUGACGCUCUUCUCAGCAGCUCGCAAAUUCGAUGGAAGAAUUAAGUGGCAUUAACUACCCUGAAACCUGCCUCAUUUCUUCCUUUCCUGCCUGUGAAAAUAGAGAGGUCUUCUUUGGGAGAGUUACAGCAUCACAUCGCUUGGGCCCAUUAUCCACAGGCAGUGCCAGCUACUCUUGACACAGAUAACAUCAGACUGAUCUUCUGUCCAAGAAACGUCAUCUGAGGAUUGAGAUCUAAAGCUUUGACUCAUGAGAAGGAUUCUCUCCACCUGGUGCUCAUAUGAAGGUGGGAGUGAUUUCUAGAUUGGGCCCCUACUGGGUAAGAUCUCACUUGGUCUGAGAAAAGUGACUGCUCCAGAAAGGAAGAGGUGCAGGUGUCACAGGGUGGCCACUCCAUUGAACUCAGCCAAUUAUGAUCCAGGACUUGGCGCUGGACAUUGGCAGUUCUGCUCUGAAUGAAGUCAGAAUGGAACCAAAAUGGCCUCAGGAAGGAAUGCCAGUGUUUUCCAAGACCUGCUGGAAAUGCACUCACACCAGACUGCACAGACAGCCCCUCAUUGUGCCACACAUGGCCUAGACAUUGUGCUUCUUCAGCCGUUUUCCCUCUGCUGCCCCAGUUUACUCUGUCCAAAAACCUAAGACUCUUCUCUCACUUGAACACAGAUGACUUUGCUUGGGUGAUGAGAAAUCCCCUUUAUCUCUUCCUCUACUGCUAGCCCAGACCCAUAACUUUAUAUGAAGCUCAGAUGCAGCAGUGCUGGAGAGCUCUCUCUUUACGCAAAAAUCUCAUUUCACUAGGAGCUUUCAGAAGUUUCACCUUGGCUAAACUCAGUAGCAUUUCUGUUAGGAUACUUAGAUGGAGGUUUUAUUUUCACACUUGGAUUCUUCCUCUGUACCAAUAUUUGCCUCUCUUCUCUGUAACUGAACUGGGUUUUUCUGACAUGCCUAGACUCCUAAUAAAGGUAUUUCUUCCUUGGAAAAA